AUUGAACGCUGGCGGCAUGCUUUAUACAUGCAAGUCGUGCGGCAGCGCGGGGGCAACUCUGGCGGCGAGCGGCGAACGGGUGAGUAAUACAUAGGAACGUAUCCUGAAAUGGGGGAUAGCUCGGCGAAAGCCGGAUUAAUACCGCAUACGCUCCACGGAGGAAAGCAGGGGAUCGCAAGACCUUGCGUUUCUGGAGCGGCCUAUGUCUGAUUAGCUAGUGGCGGGUAAUAGCCCACCAAGGCGACGAUCAGUAGCUGGUCUGAGAGGAUGAUCAGCCACACUGGGACUGAGACACGGCCCAGACUCCUACGGGAGGCAGCAGUAGGGAAUUUUGGACAAUGGGGCAACCCUGAUCCAGCCAUGCCGCGUGAGUGAAGAAGGCCUGGUU
rnacentral:rRNA from 1 species